AGAGAGUGGGAAGAAGUGGGAGAGUCGAUCUAUAAGCCGGGUUCUGUCGAGGACAGCCAUUCCUCUGGGACGCACAUCACUGUACGCCUCAAGCGACCUACCCGAAUCCAACGCGGGCCGCGCCAAUGGAUUCCUAUUUGGUCUUGCUCCGAGUGGGGUUUACCUAGCCACGCACUGUUGCCAGCCGUGCGGUGCGCUCUUACCGCACC
rnacentral:ncRNA from 4 species